rnacentral:rRNA from 2 species
GGUUAAGCGACUAAGCGUACACGGUGGAUGCCCUGGCAGUCAGAGGCGAUGAAGGGCGUGCUAAUCUGCGAUAAGCGCCGGUAAGGUGAUAUGAACCGUUAUAACCGGCGAUACCCGAAUGGGGAAACCCAGUGUGAUUCGUCACACUAUCAUUAACUGAAUCCAUAGGUUAAUGAGGCGAACCGGGGGAACUGAAACAUCUAAGUACCCCGAGGAAAAGAAAUCAACCGAGAUUCCCCCAGUAGCGGCGAGCGAACGGGGAGGAGCCCAGAGCCUGAAUCAGCAUGUGUGUUAGUGGAAGCGUCUGGAAAGGCGCGCGAUACAGGGUGACAGCCCCGUACACAAAAGCGCAUGUGCUGUGAGCUCGAUGAGUAGGGCGGGACACGUGGUAUCCUGUCUGAAUAUGGGGGGACCAUCCUCCAAGGCUAAAUACUCCUGACUGACCGAUAGUGAACCAGUACCGUGAGGGAAAGGCGAAAAGAACCCCGGCGAGGGGAGUGAAAAAGAACCUGAAACCGUGUACGUACAAGCAGUGGGAGCACAGGUUUACCUGUGUGACUGCGUACCUUUUGUAUAAUGGGUCAGCGACUUAUAUUCUGUAGCAAGGUUAACCGAAUAGGGGAGCCGGAGGGAAACCGAGUCUUAACCGGGCGUUAAGUUGCAGGGUAUAGACCCGAAACCCGGUGAUCUAGCCAUGGGCAGGUUGAAGGUUGGGUAACACUAACUGGAGGACCGAACCGACUAAUGUUGAAAAAUUAGCGGAUGACCUGUGGCUGGGGGUGAAAGGCCAAUCAAACCGGGAGAUAGCUGGUUCUCCCCGAAAGCUAUUUAGGUAGCGCCUCGUGAAUUCAUCUCCGGGGGUAGAGCACUGUUUCGGCUAGGGGGCCAUCCCGGCUUACCAACCCGAUGCAAACUGCGAAUACCGGAGAAUGUUAUCACGGGAGACACACGGCGGGUGCUAACGUCCGUCGUGAAGAGGGAAACAACCCAGACCGCCAGCUAAGGUCCCAAAGUCAUGGUUAAGUGGGAAACGAUGUGGGAAGGCCCAGACAGCCAGGAUGUUGGCUUAGAAGCAGCCAUCAUUUAAAGAAAGCGUAAUAGCUCACUGGUCGAGUCGGCCUGCGCGGAAGAUGUAACGGGGCUAAACCAUGCACCGAAGCUGCGGCAGCGAACGUAUCACUUAAAGCGAUUCAGCGGGUUACGAUUGACGGAGCGAAGCGACGUCAAAGCGUAUACAAAGUCGAGUCGGUUUAAGGAUACGUUCGUUGGGUAGGGGAGCGUUCUGUAAGCCUGCGAAGGUGGCCUGUGAGGGUUGCUGGAGGUAUCAGAAGUGCGAAUGCUGACAUAAGUAACGAUAAAGCGGGUGAAAAGCCCGCUCGCCGGAAGACCAAGGGUUCCUGUCCAACGUUAAUCGGGGCAGGGUGAGUCGACCCCUAAGGCGAGGCCGAAAGGCGUAGUCGAUGGGAAACGGGUCAAUAUUCCCGUACUUGGUGUUACUGCGAAGGGGGGACGGAGAAGGCUAUGUUGGCCGGGCGACGGUUGUCCCGGUUUAAGCGUGUAGGUGUGUGUUCCAGGUAAAUCCGGUUCACUUUAACACUGAGGCGUGAUGACGAGGCACUACGGUGCUGAAGUAACAAAUGCCCUGCUUCCAGGAAAAGCCUCUAAGCAUCAGGUAACAUCAAAUCGUACCCCAAACCGACACAGGUGGUCAGGUAGAGAAUACCAAGGCGCUUGAGAGAACUCGGGUGAAGGAACUAGGCAAAAUGGUGCCGUAACUUCGGGAGAAGGCACGCUGACACGUAGGUGAAGUGAUUUACUCACGGAGCUGAAGUCAGUCGAAGAUACCAGCUGGCUGCAACUGUUUAUUAAAAACACAGCACUGUGCAAACACGAAAGUGGACGUAUACGGUGUGACGCCUGCCCGGUGCCGGAAGGUUAAUUGAUGGGGUCAGCGCAAGCGAAGCUCCUGAUCGAAGCCCCGGUAAACGGCGGCCGUAACUAUAACGGUCCUAAGGUAGCGAAAUUCCUUGUCGGGUAAGUUCCGACCUGCACGAAUGGCGUAAUGAUGGCCAGGCUGUCUCCACCCGAGACUCAGUGAAAUUGAACUCGCUGUGAAGAUGCAGUGUACCCGCGGCAAGACGGAAAGACCCCGUGAACCUUUACUAUAGCUUGACACUGAACAUUGAGCCUUGAUGUGUAGGAUAGGUGGGAGGCUUUGAAGUGUGGACGCCAGUCUGCAUGGAGCCGACCUUGAAAUACCACCCUUUAAUGUUUGAUGUUCUAACGUGGACCCGUUACCCGGGUUGCGGACAGUGUCUGGUGGGUAGUUUGACUGGGGCGGUCUCCUCCUAAAGAGUAACGGAGGAGCACGAAGGUUGGCUAAUCCUGGUCGGACAUCAGGAGGUUAGUGCAAUGGCAUAAGCCAGCUUGACUGCGAGCGUGACGGCGCGAGCAGGUGCGAAAGCAGGUCAUAGUGAUCCGGUGGUUCUGAAUGGAAGGGCCAUCGCUCAACGGAUAAAAGGUACUCCGGGGAUAACAGGCUGAUACCGCCCAAGAGUUCAUAUCGACGGCGGUGUUUGGCACCUCGAUGUCGGCUCAUCACAUCCUGGGGCUGAAGCAGGUCCCAAGGGUAUGGCUGUUCGCCAUUUAAAGUGGUACGCGAGCUGGGUUUAGAACGUCGUGAGACAGUUCGGUCCCUAUCUGCCGUGGGCGCUGGAGAACUGAGGGGGGCUGCUCCUAGUACGAGAGGACCGGAGUGGACGCAUCACUGGUGUUCGGGUUGUCAUGCCAAUGGCACUGCCCGGUAGCUAAAUGCGGAAGAGAUAAGUGCUGAAAGCAUCUAAGCACGAAACUUGCCCCGAGAUGAGUUCUCCCUGAGACUUAGAGUCUCCUGAAGGAACGUUGAAGACGACGACGUUGAUAGGCCGGGUGUGUAAGCGCAGCGAUGCGUUGAGCUAACCGGUACUAAUGAACCGUGAGGCUUAACCUU